UUGUAUCUAUCCUUUCCAUCCUUUCAACUCUUCUCUUCUCUUCCCGAUCCAGAGUAGCGACGCAGGGAGGCAGCUCAGGCUCCGCCGGACGACGACAUGCGCCGCCGUGAGCGCGACGGUGGAGGCUUAUGGGCGGCGGCGGCGGAUCGAGACGGGCGCAUCGUCGCGGAUCGAGACUGUAGGCGGAGCUCCACGGGGAGGAUAUCGUCCCCGGCACGACGCAGGCCUACGAGAGCAGCGGCUCAGCGCGGGAGCGCGCGGCUCCCCACGGUGGGCAGGCGCGGUGGAGGCCUCGUGCCGCGGCGGACGCGGAUGGAGGCCUUGGCGGUGCUGGGAUCCCGGCGACCGAUGCACGAAUCGAGGUGGGGCUAGGGGCCGUCGAGGUGGUGCGUCGGCACGCGCCGAAUCUCCGUUCUCGAGGGUGCUCGGCUCCUAUCGUUACGCCGCUAGCUCCAACCUCUUCUGCCUCCUCGAAUGUUGCCUGAUAAUGCGAGAUGUGAAUGGGGCCUGAUGUGCUGUUUUAAUUCAGAUUUUGCACAAUGAAAAGGUUACUUUUAGGGAGCACCGAUGGCAUAUUUGAUUGCAACUCUGGAUGAUUUGCCUGGGAGCAGAUGCUGCCUGCAGGCUGCAUGUGAAUGUGUUCGAUUCUGCCUUGCCCGGCAACCGGUAGAGUGGAUUGUUUGAUUGAAGUCUGGUGCGUGAGGACUGAGUGAUCAAAGUUCAGGCAGCGGCUAGCUAUGUCGAUUUUGGUGGCCUGGUGGAGGAAGCAAUGCCUGGUAUCUAGGACUUCAACCAAAUACGUCACAGGCAGAGUGCAGGCCACAGUCCAGCCAUGCAAAAUUGGUUCAGUGCUGCAACCAAACAUGCCCUGAGUGUUUCAAUUUUAGAAAUUUUGUGCAAAAGCAUAUCAUGUACCAUAAGAAAUAAGAAAUGUAGAAUACAUGUGUUUUUCUUAUACAAAUGGAUGCACUUUCUUUUUAGUCCC